CUCUUUGGUUACCUAGCUGUAUGAGCGCUUUCAUUCAUAAAGCUAGCUGACCGAAGUA
rfam:Trichuris trichiura, WGS project CBXK01000000 data, contig: TTRE_463